UGGUGAGUAACGCGUGAGGAACCUGCCUUUCGGAGGGGGACAACAGUUGGAAACGACUGCUAAUACCGCAUGACGUAUCGGGGAUCGCAUGGUCUUGAUACCAAAGAUUUUAUCGCCGAAAGAUGGCCUCGCGUCUGAUUAGCUAGUUGGUGGGGCAACGGCCUACCAAGGCGACGAUCAGUAGCCGGACUGAGAGGUUGGCCGGCCACAUUGGGACUGAGAUACGGCCCAGACUCCUACGGAAGGCAGCAG
rnacentral:rRNA from 1 species